rnacentral:tRNA from 1 species
GCCAGAGUGGUUUAAUGGUUAAAGUGUUGGACUAGGAUUCGGAAGACUCGGGUUCGAAUUCCUGGUCUGCCA